rnacentral:rRNA from 1 species
GACGAACGCUGGCGGCGUGCCUAACACAUGCAAGUCGAGCGAGUGGAUCUCCUUCGGGAGUGAAGCUAGCGGCGGACGGGUGAGUAACACGUGGGCAACCUGCCUCAUAGAGGGGAAUAGUCUUUCGAAAGGAAGAUUAAUACCGCAUAAGAUUGUAGCUUCGCAUGAAGUAGCAAUUAAAGGAGCAAUCCGCUAUGAGAUGGGCCCGCGGCGCAUUAGCUAGUUGGUGAGGUAACGGCCCACCAAGGCGACGAUGCGUAGCCGACCUGAGAGGGUGAUCGGCCACAGUGGGACUGAGACACGGCCCAGACUCCUACGGGAGGCAGCAGUGGGGAAUAUUGCACAAUGGGGGAAACCCUGAUGCAGCAACGCCGCGUGAGUGAUGACGGCCUUCGGGUUGUAAAGCUCUGUCUUCAGGGACGAUAAUGACGGUACCUGAGGAGGAAGCCACGGCUAACUACGUGCCAGCCGCCGCCGUAAAAC